AGCGAACGCUGGCGGUAGGCCUAACACAUGCAAGUCGAACGGCAGCACAGUAAGAGCUUGCUCUUACGGGUGGCGAGUGGCGGACGGGUGAGGAAUACAUCGGAAUCUACUUUUUCGUGGGGGAUAACGUAGGGAAACUUACGCUAAUACCGCAUACGACCUACGGGUGAAAGCAGGGGAUCUUCGGACCUUGCGCGAUUGAAUGAGCCGAUGUCGGAUUAGCUAGUUGGCGGGGUAAAGGCCCACCAAGGCGACGAUCCGCAGCUGGUCGGAGAGGAGGGUCAGCCACACUGGAAGUGAGACACGGUCCAGACUCCUACGGGACGCAGCAGUGGGGAAUAUUAGACAAUGGGCGCGAGCCUGAUCCAGCCAUACCGCGUGGGUGAAGAAGGCCUUCGGGUUGUAAAGCCCUUUUGUUGGGAAAGAAAAGCAGCAGGUUAAUACCCCGCUGUUCUGACGGUACCCAAAGAAUAAGCACCGGCUAACUUCGUG
rnacentral:rRNA from 1 species